AUCUAAGUUGAUACUAUUUCAGCUCAAGGUCCUAAAAAAAAAAAUGUCUAGGGUUCUAGGUCCAAGCACUGGAGUAUUUGCACAGUACUUCCAUGAGCUCUGAGAACCUUAACUUUCAUACAAGAAAGAGAAUACAUAAACUGUCAUGCAGCAAAUUCAACGUUUGCCCAGCACGUGCAAGACAUCAAAACCAAGACCUCACCGAUGGUAGAUAAACACUCUCACGACUAAAUAAAUACAUUGUAUCAUCAGA